UUGGUGAGUGAUGAUGCACUAGCAGUGUGCGACUCAACAUUUCCCUGAAUUAUGAAGAUGGGUUCUGAAGGACGUGUGCUUCUAAGCUGUGUAUUCAGCUCUGCCUCAUAAUGCCCAUUGAAAGAUGGAGCAAACGGAUAUUCUUGUCUCAAGGCUUUGAUGAAGGUCAUGGCAAGCAGGGAUUAUUCUUCCUCAGUACUUAGCCAAGCUACAUGCCCCUUGCCGCUUUUUGGCUCAGGUUGUGUGUGAUCUGCAGAUUGGUAAAGUGUAUAUGUGGAGUGCAGGGGCAACUGAGGAGUAAGUUGAACCAUUGCAUUUCACAACAAACAAGGACUGGUGUUUCAAGAAUGGGAGUAGGAGUUGGACAUGAGUUCAAUGGAGAGUGUGACAGGAAAGAAACCAGAACAGUAAAAUCCCUUGUCCUUUCAGUACCUUGUUUUUCUUGAGUAUACAGUGUAUGUUUGUGGCUUUGAAAGUCAUACCAAAUGAUCUGUAGCUUAACUGUCCUAUGGAGUUGUUAUUUUAAUUACAUGGAUGCAGCUUUUUCUCCUGCAAUUUCAGGCAUAACUCCAGCUUCUUGUUGUAUUAUCAACAUAAAAGACAUGGAGAAUUGCUAUUGCAUCAUGCUAGGGUAAAAGUGUAUGUUGUCCAAGGGUUACUGCACAGGACUAAGACUCUCAGCUCCUGGACUUAAUUUCCUGUUUUGAAAUCAACUUUGGCAUGUCACAGCUGGGGCCUGUUGUUCUGGUUGCUGCUGAGCGCUUGUGAUUCCUCUUGAAGACUGAGAGCUGUAGGUUAUGGGCAUUUCUGAAACGGCAAGCUCAGUUGUGUGAGGUUAGAUUGUCCACAACAGCCACUUGAAUAAAAAUUCAUUAAAAAUUCAACCUGAGGCC